rnacentral:rRNA from 1 species
AGUGAACGCUGGCGGCGUGCCUAAUACAUGCAAGUCGAACGGAGUGUCUCACGGGUGUGUAAUGUAUAGCUAAUCUUCCCUAUACUAGAGGACAACAUUUGGAAACGGCUGCUAAUACUCUAUAGUGUAGGAUGAGGCUAUAUUUUAUCAGCUAUUUGGUGAGGUAAUGGCUCACCAAGGCUAUGACGCAUAACUGGUCUGAGAGGAUGAUCAUUCACACUUGAACUGAGACACGGUCCAGACUCCUACGGGAGGCAGCAGUAGGGAAUAUUUCUCAAUGGGGGAAACACUGAAGCAGCAACGCCGCGUGGAGGAUGACACUUUUCGGAGCGUAAACUCCUUUUGUUAGGGAAGCGGUACCUAACGAAUAAGCACCGGCUAACUCCGUGCCAGCCGCCGCGGUAAUAC